AGGGUUCGAUUAUGGCUCAGGACGAACGCUGGCGGCGUGCCUAACACAUGCAAGUCGAGCGGGGAUUGCGGGAGGAAGUUUUCGGAUGGAAUCCUGCAAUUCUAGCGGCGGACGGGUGAGUAACGCGUGAGCAACCUGCCUCUCACAGGGGGAUAACGCAGCGAAAGUUGCACUAAUACCGCAUGAGACCACACUUCUGACAUGGGAGAGGGGUCAAAGGAGGAAUCCGGUGAGAGAUGGGCUCGCGUCUGAUUAGCUGGUUGGUGAGGUAACGGCCCACCAAGGCGACGAUCAGUAGCCGACCUGAGAGGGUGAUCGGCCACAUUGGAACUGAGAGACGGUCCAA
rnacentral:rRNA from 1 species